rnacentral:misc_RNA from 1 species
GCAAGCCAGUUUUUCAAUUUUGUUUUUUUUUUUUCAUUCGACUGCGAUUUCAGCGGGACUAACACUACGUUAAAAUACUUAUAUAUAUAUAUUUAGCUAUAUAUGUAUGCAUAAGUAUUAAGUCUAUAAUUUAAAAAUAUUGUGUCUGCAUGAAUGUUAAAUGCCAACAAUAAAAAAAGGUUAAUGCGGGGAGGAGGGAUGUUUAAUGGUUCAUGAAUUAUGUGCGAUUUGUACUGAGCGUUUUCAAAGCACAUUCGGCUUUCGAAAUUUUUUUCUUUAAUUUUCUAAUUGAUUUAAAAACAAAAAACAAUGAAAAAUUAAAAAUAAAUAAAUUUAUAAAUUUUUAGCGAAAAUUUUCAAUGUCAAUUGUGUAUUUACUAUUCUCGGUUUUUUUUUUUUCUUUUAAAUAUAAUUGCAUAGAUUUUUCUGUUUUUAAAGCUCGAAAACUCUGUCAAAUUAAAAAAUAUUGUCUUAAUUGUUAAUGGUUUUCCAAAAAUAGGUUACCUCGAUGAAUCUAAGUCACUGUGAAUGUUCUUGUCGCACCCUAAUACAGAAACUGGUCGAAAAAAUGGAGCUCUUGGCACAAGUUAGUGAUGUGAAAAAUAAAACAAGUCGCUCAAGAACAAAUGAGAAUAUUGGUGUUGUAGCCAAAAGCCUUGAAGUAAGACCCAGCUGGACGAUCAUCAACAACGUCGUGUCUUCACUGCUUGGGUCCUUGAAGUGCAUGAAAAUGUUGCGGAAUUCCAUCGAAACAUCUUCUUGACUGAUGAAUCCCAUUUUCACCUCAAUGGCGACGUCAAUAAGCAAAACUGUCGCAUUUGCGGUACGGGAAACUCAAGACUUAAUCCACAAACUGUUUGGUGCGGUUUAUAGUCCGGCGGGGUCGUCGGACUUUAGUUUUUCGAAAAUGACGCAGGAGCAACAGUUACCGUGAAUGGAUUGCGCUAUCGAGAGAUGAUUAAUGAUUUUUUAUGGUCGCAAUUGGUUGGUAUUGAGCUGGGCAGAGUUUACUUUCAACCAGACGGAACUACAAGUCACUCAAGCAACGAAAUCAGAGAGAAAAGUUUCCGGACCUUGUUAUCUCUUGAAAAAGGAUACGGAUCUGUAAGCGUAACAGUUUAGCUGAUAUUGUUUUCCAUUAUCAAUGUCAUAUCUUCCUCUUUACAUUGAAGUAAAAACCGUGGCCAUGAGUGACAUGAGAAAUUUAGAUUUUUUCCGUAGAAACCGCGCCUCUUUCUGCUUGCUCGUACAGAAGUGUGCAUAAACAUCGUUGCAGACAGACUAAUGCCAACCUUUUGUGGAUGUAAAUAAACAAAUUAUACCAAAUUGAAAUAUGCAUUUUGCGGCCGCUGUAUUUUGUAAUCGGUUUUGCACACUUUACUGCAUUCUACGGUAAUCAUGCACGAGACACGUUCGUUAACGUUUCUACAAUAGUAUAAAAUAAGUCACAUUUGCAGAGGAAAGAAUGAUUGAGGCAUGAAAAACCUGAGAGGCGAGAAAGUGAGGGAACUUACUACAGGUUUUAAGACCUAAGCUUCGUACUGUUAAAACGAAUAUUUGGUUAUCUAACGUUUGGUGUAUAUUAAGUUUAAGGCCGAAAAACUUCUACAGCUACAGGCUUAAUUACAGUGAAAAUAAAAGUAUUUUUAAUGCUGGACAUUUUUUUAUUUUUUUAUGAAUUAUUAAGAAAUGCUUAUUUAUUAGAUAUAUUUUCGUCACUGCUUCAAUAAAAGUAAACACACAAGGACUUAAAUUAUAUAUUUCGGCAUUUUUUCCCACAUAUAUCAUAUAUGAGCUUUGCAGGCUCACUUUCGGCUUAAAAUACGCUUAAUUAAAUAUGCGCCUAAAUGUAUACUGCUUUUGAUUAUUUGUUUAUUUACAAAGGGUCGGCAAUUUAUUGACUGCUUUUUUAACUCCGAUUUUACGUAACUUUAACUCCAUCAAUAGCUCGAUGGAUGUCUCAAAUAUUCAGUGCAAGCUUAGCAGCUAACAAAGUUAUUAAGUUCACGCUUGAAAAGUUUAAUUAAAGUUUGAGUACCAAAAUGUGGUGAGUUUUCAACCGCAAUUGCAGGAAAGCUACUCACGCCAAAUAGGUUCACUAUAGGACAAAGCCAUGUGCGCCUCUAAGGCAUUUAGAGGAUAAAAUUGCUGCUGUAGAUUGAAGUGUACUCGAAUAGCCAACUCUAAGCCGUUCGUAGGAAUUAAACAUUUUGCGUAGGGUUUCGCAAAAAGCUUUCUAAAGUUCGAUCGGUUCAAGACCUGAAGCCUGAUGGCCAACCAUGAAGAUCGCUUGACAGAAGAUGCACAUUUUUAUCAAAAAAUUAUCCCUUCCGAGGAAGCAACUUAGCAAUUAACUUGAUAAACUAACGUAACCAUGGUAAAGAGAAUAAUUCCUCAACGAGUGAGGACUAGCAAAUGCUGCACAAAACGGCAUGUGAACACCGACCGGCAACAUUAGUACGUUCUGCUUCGAAAGCGAUAAAGAAGCUACCGAUCGUUGCCGUUCCAGAUUA